UUGCUGAAGACUGAAUGACCGAGAACGGUGUUCGGUCCAGUGGGACUGCCGACCACCCAGAACGAGAACCCAGGUAUGAGACUCGAGGCUCUAGCGCGGCUCGGAGCUCAGAGGUAACCCAGAAGCUGCAGACUGCAGCACGAAUCACCUGGUUCGCAUCGGUCCGAGCGGAGACCCGGUGUCCCCGGUGCUAGCAGUUCGGAUCGGUCCGGUACCGCGAAACGAGACGGACCAGGACAGGACCUGCGGCUCUGCUCGUGCACCAGACCAGUGGACAAGGAGGUGGAUUAUUCAGAUUCCUGUUUGCUGUCAGUCUCUCCAGGAAAUAUAAACUGGCACCUCUGAGCAGCCAUCCUACCUUCUGAGCCUCUGUGGGCAUCUCAUCACUGGACGAGCUCAGCUCUUUGUCCUUUAGAGCAUCCCGAGGGCCCGCGGGCCCACUCAUGAUUCCAGGUAGUCCUUUACUAGCAGGGAAGGUCUUCUUCAUGGCCUCAUCAUCUGACGACAGGCCUUUAUCACUCAGGUUCCCUGCCAGCUCACUUAGUUUCCUCCUCAGCUUCUCCUCCUCAUUCUGACCCGACGGAGUUGAAGCCUGCAGAGGGACACAGGAUAUGAACGAGUAGUGUUCAGGAAUCAGACUCAGAUCCUGAUGUCGGUCUGGUGUUUGUGGACCGUCUCACCUCAUCAGCUGGUGACAUCUUCUCCUCCAGACGGCUCAGCAGACUCUCGAUGGCUGACAUUCGUUUGUUCAGUUCGUUUAUCUGAGAUUACAAGUCCAUGUCACUUUUAUGACAGAAAGUUCUGGCUCAUCCAGACUCUCAAAAUGACUUUAUGUUCCUGAUGUUUUCCCAUUUUUGAUUUGGAAACUGGUUUUCAGUUAAAACCAAAGUUAGUGGCUGGUCUGGAAAUGAUUAGUUUCUAGUUUGGACCGAUUUGUGUCGUGGAGUUUAGUGUUUUCUGUAAAUGCAACACCGAUGUUUUAUCACAAGCUGAAGCGCGUUCCGUCAUGAGGAGCUGCUAACGCUAACAGUUAGCUUCUGCUAGCGGAGCAAACUCAGAGUUAGCCAGGGGGACUUAGCUUGACCCUGAUCCUAAUCCUGCAGAAGGGUUAAACAGGUGAGAAUAACCCCCAGGUGUGUGAAGCGAGUGCGCUGAUUGGUUGUACUCUUACAGGCGGAGCUUGGCCCAGGUUCUCCUGAGAAGAGGCUCUACUGUUUCUGCGGCGGUGGGGGGGCUGCUGCUGGUACAUGGGAGGGUAUCUACAGUACUCCUCCUCAUCAGACGUGUCAACAUACUGCUGCCGAGCCACAGAAGAGCUGAUCUUAGACAAAGAGCGUGUCCGGACCAUCCGAUUCUCUGCAUAGUCAUCUGAUGACAGAAAACAGGUUGAGUCAGAUGGUCUGUGUACACAAACAUAAGAGCUGAGAGGUAACGAUGACUCUGAAACUGAGAAGACGAAGUCAGGGAUCAGAGACUCUGUGUGAGCGGUUACAAACUCCUCCCAGGUAAAACAUCCAGACUCACAAUGUUCCUUAUUGGCUCCAGGCUUUAUAUGAUUGAAAAAUUUCCAGACUUAUAAUCAUUGUGUGUGUGCAUGCAUGUGUGUGUGCGUGCGUGCGUGUGUGUGUGUGACCUGGCCUCAUGGCAUAACGGUCCAGACUCUUCCUGCGGUUAGCUCGGUGGUUGUAGAGGUCGUAAUCCGCAUCGUUCCUGUAGCCGCGCUCCUCCUGCAUCUGCAUCUGCUGUUCAACGCCGUCAUCAAAGACGUCACAGAAAACAUUGAUUAAAACAACGCUGAACUGAGCGUUUUUAGCUUUAGAUGUAACAACUGUGGGGACAUGCCACAGUGGAAAUGUUAGCACGGGUUUGUGUUGCCAGCGUGGGAUUGACCUGCACAGACGGGCGGCGGGAGUGAGGAAGAUAAUCCUCUGAAUCGAAGUCCAUGGGAUGAACUGACAGCAGCCGCUUGUUCUUCCUCAUCUGAGUGUGAAACUCUAAUUUAUUCAUGUGUUCAUUCUCAACAUUGUCAUCUUUGUGUUCUCAGCUACCAUCUUGUAGCGCUGAGCCUCGGUUUCUGCAGGAUCGUCCUCGUUACCGUUGUACAUGUCUGAAACAAAUCAGUGUUCAGCAGGACUGGGUUAUGGUUCAUCCUGUGUAAACCAAGGACAUCAGCUGCCUGGUCAGCCAUGCUAAUGCUUUAGAGUGCUUUAUGCUAAUUAAUGAGCAACAAGCUGGAGCUUUAAAAGAUUGCGAUUCUUUCAUCGACCAGAUUAACUUCAUAAUGAUCGGAGUGUUUGUUGUGCGACUCACAGCUGCGGACGUCUGGCAUGCUCUGAGUGUCGUCAUCACGACCGCCUGAUGAACAAACACCGUUAGAGGAACAGGCUCAUUGUGGAGCCACAAUAGGAAUUACAGUUUAACAACGAGUGUUAUGAUUCACCAUCGCCGUUUAGACGCUUGUACAGUGACCUCAUCACCUUGGCACUGCCGAAACGCUUAAAACGGUUCCUCACGUUGUCAUGGUACCAGCCGACGGUCCCGACCUUCAGGACUCUGAGGAUAAAAAAUAAAAAAUAAAAAAACCAGAACGUACUAAUACACAAACUCCACACCGAACAUAAAUGACUCCCAAGCUGGGCUCUUGAUGGAAAACACACAGAGGUAUCCUCAGAGCUCAAAACAGAACUCAGGUGCUUCCUGGUUCCACUGAUCAUCCUUGAGAUGUUUCUGCAGCUUAACCGGAGUCCACAUGUGGUAAGUUUGGUCAAAGAUUUGGAAAGGCACACGCCUGUCUAAGACUGUGCAUGUCAGAGCACAAACCCAUGAAGUCAAAGGAAUUGUGCACAGUCAUCGGAGACCUGGGAUUUCAGAAAUGUUUCUGCUGCUUUUAAGUUUCCAAUGAGCACAAUAGUCUUCAUCAUCUGUGAGAAGAAGUUCCAAACCAGGACUCUUCCUAGUGCUGGCUGGCCAUAAAAUCUGAGCUAUUUGAGAAGAAGGGCCUUAGUCAAGGAGGUGACCAAGAACCCAACGGUCACUCUGUCAGAGCUCCAGUGUAAAUUUAGUUUGUUAUUUAAAAUGUUAUUUCAAAAUGUAGUUUUUUGUUUGUUUGUUUAAUUCACCUGUUGCUGUGUUCACAAAAAGACUAUGGAGAUAAACCCUUUUUGAAAUGGCGAACAGCACAAACGUGUGUUUUUGUUUUAUUCUGGUUAUUUCUUUUAGCCUGGCCUGCCAGACUCGUCCGGUUUAAUUCUGCACAGAGAGAGAGAGUCUGGUUACUCACAGGCAGGGAGGCACAUGAGGGGCGGGACUAGGCAGCUCAAAAAUAACCAAUCACAAAAAAGACGGAAAUGACAACUGUACCGCGUGGCGCUGUAGUUUUUUAGCUGUAGUAAAAAAAAGGCGUCUGGUGACGGCGCAAACAUCUUUAAUUUUUGCAGAAAUGCUUUUAGCGCUUCUACUUGUUGUGGUUUUAAAGACAUUCCAGUCAUUUAGAACAGAGGACAGAGCCGCAGCAAACUCCAUUUCAGUCGCCAUGUUUAUGACAAACUCGGCGUUGUGGUGUGCGACGUACACUACUCAGCGCUGAUCAUGGACGUAAUUUUCACUUUAGAAGUGGGGGGGCACGGGGGCGGGUAUCUUUACAGUAUGUUCUAAUGGGAAACAGGCUUCAACACAAAUGGUUGUUUUCUGCUUGGUCCUAGAGCUCAACCAGUGUCAAUUCAAUAUAGCGUAAUGUUGUUUUUGGAUGGUAAAAAGUGCAGGGGUCAAAACUUGACUUUGGAAAAAGUGAGGGGGACAUGUCCCCCCUGUCCCCCCCCCCC